rnacentral:rRNA from 1 species
AUUGAACGCUGGCGGCAUGCCUUACACAUGCAAGUCGAACGGCAGCACGGGUGCUUGCACCUGGUGGCGAGUGGCGCACGGGUGAGUAAUACAUCGGAACAUGUCCUGUAGUGGGGGAUAGCCCGGCGAAAGCCGGAUUAAUACCGCAUACGAUCUACGGAUGAAAGCGGGGUACCUUCGGGCCUCGCGCUAUAGGGUUGGCCGAUGGCUGAUUAGCUAGUUGGUGGGGUAAAGGCCUACCAAGGCGACGAUCAGUAGCUGGUCUGAGAGGACGAUCAGCCACACUGGGACUGAGACACGGCCCAGACUCCUACGGGAGGCAGCAGUGGGGAAUUUUGGACAAUGGGCGAAAGCCUGAUCCAGCAAUGCCGCGUGUGUGAAGAAGGCCUUCGGGUUGUAAAGCACUUUUGUCCGGAAAGAAAACCUUGGCCCUAAUACGGUCGGGGGAUGACGGUACCGGAAGAAUAAGCACCGGCUAACUACGUG